AACCAUCAUUUUUUUAUAGGUGUUGUAUUGAAAAAUACAGCUUAAAAGGGAAGUUUGGUGUAAUUCCAACACGGUUCCCGCCACUGUAAAUCUGAGCUGCUUGCGAGAUGCCACUGUCUGACUAUAGAUGGGAAGGCGUAAGCAGUGUUGACGAUGAGUCAGGAGACCUGCCUAUAGAAGAAGCAAUGC
rnacentral:ncRNA from 2 species